CCUACGGGUGGCAGCAGUGAGGAAUAUUGGUCAAUGGGCGCGAGCCUGAACCAGCCAAGUCGCGUGAGGGAGGACGGCCCUACGGGUUGUAAACCUCUUUUGCCGGGGAGAAACGGGCGCCACGUGUGGCGUCACUGAGAGUACCCGGAGUAAAAGCAUCGGCUAACUCCGUGCCAGCAGCCGCGGUAAUACGUAGGAUGCGAGCGUUAUCCGGGUUUAUUGGGUGUAAAGGGUGCGUAGGCGGAUCGUUAAGUCAGUGGUUAAAUGUAGGGGCUCAACCCCUUCCCGCCAUUGAAACUGGCGUUCUUGAGUGGAAGAGAAGUAUGCGGAAUGCGUGGUGUAGCGGUGAAAUGCAUAGAUAUCACGCAGAACCCCGAUUGCGAAGGCAGCAUGCCGGCUUCCGACUGACGCUGAAGCACGAAAGCGUGGGGAUCGAACAGGAUUAGAUACCCUGGUAGUC
rnacentral:rRNA from 1 species